GCCAGAGGAAACUCUGGUGGAGGCUCGUAGCGAUACUGACGUGCAAAUCGUUCGUCGAACUUGGGUAUAGGGGCGAAAGACUAAUCGAACCAUCUAGUAGCUGGUUCCCUCCGAAGUUUCCCACAGGAUAGCUUGAGCGCACACAGUACGGUUUUGUCAGGUAAAGCGAAUGAUUAGAGGCCUUGGGGCUGAAACAGCCUUAACCUAUUCUCAAACUUUAAAUAUGUAAGAAGCCCUUGUCACUUAAUUGGACGUGGGCAUGCGAAUGAGAGUUUCUAGUGGGCCAUUUUUGGUAAGCAGAACUGGCGAUGCGGGAUGAACCGAACGCCGCGCUAAGGUACCCAAGUGUCCGCUCAUCAGAGACCACAAAAGGCGUUGGUACCUCCAGACAGCAGGACGGUGGCCAUGGAAGUCGGAACCCGCUAAGGAGUGUGUAACAACUCACCUGCCGAAGGUACUAGCCCUGAAAAUGGAUGGCGCUCAAGCGGACCACCGAUGCGCGGCCGCCGGCGCGAGUGCGAGGCGCCGGCGAGUAGGAGGGCGCGGGGGUCGCGGCGCAGCCUUGGGCGUGAGCUCGGGUGAAGCGUCCUCCGGUGCAGAUCUUGGUGGUAGUAGCAAGUAUUCAAAUGGGAACUUUGAAGACUGAAGUGGAGAAAGGUUCCAUGUGAACAGCAGUUGGACAUGGGUGAGCCGACCCUAAGAGACAGGAGAACUCCGCCGAACGCGGCCGCUUCCGUCGGCCCGUCCGUCGAAAGGGAAUCGGGUUAACAUUCCCGAGCCAGUGCGUGGAUGGUGGGCGGCGACGCGAACGAUCCCGGAGACGCCUGCGGGAGCCCUGGGAAGAGUUCUCUUUUCUUCUUGACUGUCUUGUCCGCCCUGGAAUCGGUUUAGCCGGCGAGAGGGCCACGCGGCAGGCAAAGCACCUUACGUCUUGAGGUGUCCGGCGCGCUCCCGACGGCCCGUGAAAAUCCGGGGGAGCGUUUCGUUUUCACGCCUGGUCGUACUCAUAACCGCAUCAGGUCUCCAAGGUGAGCAGCCUCUAGUCGAUAGAGCAAUGUAGGUAAGGGAAGUCGGCAAAAUGGUUCCGCAACCUCGGGAGAAGGAAUGGCUCUGAAGGCUGGGCGCAGGGGUCGUCGGUCCGAGGCUCGCU
rnacentral:rRNA from 1 species